GCCCGGUUGGUCUAGUGGUAUGAUUGUCGCUUCGGGAGUUCCCCCAAUGAACUAUUCUUGGCAUGUGACAGGUCUCCGGUUCGAUCCCGGAAUCGGGCC